CCAGUGAUCCCUGUAAACCGGAUGCCCUUCCCUUCGGCCCCUCAAACGCAGCGUAAUCUUUGGAUCAGGAGAGGCAGAGGCACACAGGCGGUGUGGACUUGGGCUCAGAUGGAGGUGAUGAGGAUGAAAAAGAAGAAAUUGCAUCAGUCCCACCUCGACUGGAAGCUGAAGCCGAUGUGUUAAUGUCAAAAGAUGAAGGGACAAUGCUAUGCUGUUGCAGCCUGUUUUUAAUCAGAAGAAGAAAGACCUCAAGUUCCUGUGAUUACAAGAUGGUACAACUACAAUGAAGCAGAUUCUCAAAGCUCAUAUGAAAGCCUAAACACACCUUGUUAUACUUUGUGUAUAACAUGAUCAGAACUGUCAGUGCUCCAAGGACUGAACGCUCUGCCACUGUCUUGUGUCAUUAGAUCCCCACUGUUGUGCAACCUGACCUCUGUGGUCUUGCCUGAGUCUUAUCCUCCUCCUCUUCCUCCUCUGCGCCCUGCCUUCUCUGUCAUAUCGGCUCAGGUUCAGGGCUGCUGCCCCGCCUGCCUCGGUGAACAUUCAACGCUGUCGGUGAGUUUGGUUUCAGUAGCACAUAAACCAUCGACCGUUGACUGUGCCCCGUGGCUUGCUCUUGCGACGUCAAACCUGAGCAAAAAAACGGGGGAAAAGACCAAAAAUGAACAAAAGGGCAAGUGGGCGCCACAUGCAAAUGCUGAGCUGGAAGCCACAUGUGCACAUGCUCAUAAGUGCCACUUUGUGUUCACUGUACCCAAAGACCAAAGGUCACAAUCAACAUUCAUUGCUGUCGCUGGGUUGGACUCUGUAAGAAAGCUCACUGAACAAUGAGUGCAACUGUGGCCCAGAUCUGCCUGACUCGCAUCUCAGCCAAUCAGACGACCGGAUGUGAAGCACUCUGAUUUCUUUAUUUAUGUACUUCUUGUUUUUCACUUCUAUUUUUUCCCCUCUCUUCCUCCCUCCCUGGUGCCAGGAGUUUUUAGAGAAGGGAGGCAGAGAGUUAGGCGGCACAAAUAGACUUCUGGCUGCCUGCUUGUCCUCAUCCUCCUCUUCUCUCCUCUAAUUGAUGGUUAUGUGUGCAGCAUGGGGGAAGGAAGCCGAGUGAAUGUGUAAUCAUUUGGAGUCUCUUCUCCUUUAGAUGUUUCAUCCCUCUCUUUUUUGUUUGUCUAAUUAUAUACUGAGCUCAGUUAACUGUGUGUCUGUGCUGGCAGGGAAGGCAUAUUUGCAAAAAAAGGAGGACAAUGGAAGGAAAAAGAAGAUUACAGCUUUAGAAAAAAUAAAUCUAGUUUUGAGUUUAUUUCUCAUAAUAAUUUCCCUGAUGCUCCUGCAGAUAUAUUUGAAUAAAAGCAAUUUUGCAGUAAAAAAAAAAAAAAAAGAGUACUUCCACCUUUUUGAUGAAAGAUGUCUAAUUAUCUAUAUUUAAAUGUCUUGGUGUCCUACCAGUCCCUGUCUGUGUGUGUGCUUGUGCCGCUCUCCAUGAUAGAGGACGUGUCUACUGAUCACAGGGUGCAAUGAGUUAUUUUACUUCAACACCGAAGCCAGCUCUCUCACGGGGAAAAAAAAUAACCCUGUCUUUCUUCACAGUCUGCGACCCACAGUACUGCAGCCUUCUGUGAUACCUCUCAAACACUGUGUCCUAUAACAGUUAUUCAUGUAAGGUAAACACACACACAGCUGAAAACCAGAUGUUUACAUACACUGUUAAAAAAAGACACAUAACCUUUAUAUCUGUUACCAAAAUUAUUUCUAUUUGCUACAUGCCAGAAUGAUGAGCAUGAAAAGAGAUUUAAAGUAAUUUUUUCUUUUAACUUUUUUCAAGCCAGAAGUUCACAUACAAUUUCUUAGUAUUUGGUAGCAUUGACUUUCAAAUGUUAUGACUCGGUUCAAACAUCUUGGGAUUCUACGACCUUCUCACAACAGUUUUGCAUUCCUACUGACAGAACUGGUGUAACUAAGUCAUGUUUGUAGGCUUCAUCAUUCACACACACCUUUUCUGAUGAGCCCUCAAAUAUUAAAUGACUCUGAUAUCAGGGCUUUGUGAUGGCCACUCCAAAACAUUGGACAUUGUAGCUUAUUUAGUGGUAUGUUCACGGUCGUUGUCCAUUUUGAAGACCAAUUUGUGCCCAAGAUUUCAACUGCCUGGUUGACAUCUUUGGGAGGUUUGAAUAUUUCCACAAAACAUUGUUUCCUCAUAAUGCUAUCUAAUUUGUGAAGUGCACCAGUCCCUCCUGCAGCAAAACACCCCCACAAUAUGAUGCUGACUCACCUAUACUUUACAGUUGAGAUGACAUUCUCAGGCUUGUAAGCUCCCCUUUUUAAUUUAAAUCCACCUAUGGUCAUUAUGGCUAAACCAUUAAAUUUUCUUUUACCAGACCACCAGACAUGUCUCCAGAAAAUGAAGGUCGUUCUCCCUGAGUGCAAAUGCAAACUAAUCUGUUUUAUUAUGUUGCUCUUGGAAUAAUGGCUUAUUCCUCUCUGAGUCACCUUUCAGCCCAUGUCAGAGGACCCCUAUUUAGUGUUGAUAAUGACCAGCUGCAACCAACAUCUUUACGAGGUCUUCUUCUUUCGUUCUGGAGUUCUUGGUUAAUUUCCUUUGAUUUUUCCUUGAUGUCAAAAAAAGGAAGCAGUGUACUUGAGGAGUAGUCUUACAAGGCAUCCACAGAUAUGCCCCCAAGUACCUCAAAUUGUUUAAAGGCAUAUAGUAAUCUUAGUCUAUGUAAACCGUUCACUUUGAAGAAACUAAUACAAAAUUCUCCCAAAAAAAUCUUAUUAUUCUGGAAAUGUAUCAAAUGGAAAUAAUUUAGAUAACUCUACCUGACCUAAAACAGGAAAGGUUUCGUCUGAUUUAAUGUCAGACUGGGGAAAAAAUGGCUAUACGUCUGCGCAGAGAAUGUAAAUAUCUGAUUUCAGCUACAUUUGUUUGUCCUUAUUCCUGCAACAACCUUUCUCAAGUGAUUUCCUAACUACGUCAAUAAAGUUCAAUUCCAGACCAAUU